rnacentral:rRNA from 1 species
GAUGAACGCUGGCGGCGUGCCUAAUACAUGCAAGUCGAGCGAACAGACGAGGAGCUUGCUCCUCUGACGUUAGCGGCGGACGGGUGAGUAACACGUGGAUAACCUACCUAUAAGACUGGGAUAACUUCGGGAAACCGGAGCUAAUACCGGAUAAUAUAUUGAACCGCAUGGUUCAAUAGUGAAAGACGGUUUUGCUGUCACUUAUAGAUGGAUCCGCGCCGCAUUAGCUAGUUGGUAAGGUAACGGCUUACCAAGGCAACGAUGCGUAGCCGACCUGAGAGGGUGAUCGGCCACACUGGAACUGAGACACGGUCCAGACUCCUACGGGAGGCAGCAGUAGGGAAUCUUCCGCAAUGGGCGAAAGCCUGACGGAGCAACGCCGCGUGAGUGAUGAGGGUCUUCGGAUCGUAAAACUCUGUUAUUAGGGAAGAACAAAUGUAUAAGUAACUAUGCACGUCUUGACGGUACCUAAUCAGAAAGCCACGGCUAACUACGUG